UACGUAGGGGGCAAGCGUUGUCCGGAUUUAUUGGGCGUAAAGCGCACGCAGGCGGUCUCUUAAGUUUUGAGUGACAGGUGGUGGCUCAACUGCCACAGGCCUCAGAAGACUGGGAGACUUGAGGACGAGAGAGGGAUGCAGAAUUCCAGGUGUAGCGGUGAAAUGCGUAGAUAUCUGGAGGAAUACCGGUGGCGAAGGCGGCAUCCUGGACCGGCAUUGACGCUGAUGAGCGAAAGCUAGGGGAGCAAACGGG
rnacentral:rRNA from 1 species